CUAACUGGACAAACUUCAUCAUGAAUACUUUGGCUUAACGUUUAAAAUUAAAUUCAGGAUUUAUUGUGAUUAUUUUCUGUAAAUAUUGUUGACGGACAUAAAUUACAGCAGAAUUUUGUAUUUUUACUCCCUCAGAUUUGAUUAUUUGUUAAUUUUGUUAUUAUUUCAGAUUAAAUACAAUUUAAGCUGCUGUUAUAUGAAUAUAAAAAGACUUGCAUUUUAACACUGAGUAGUUCUUCGCCUGCAUACCCACACAUGUUGGUACCAGGCUUUAUUUGUGUUGUUUGUUGUUUCUGACACCAGCAUCUGCAGUUUGUUUAUAUGUGACACAACAGGCCCAGUUAGUGAAAGUGCCGCUGAUUAAACAGAACUUUAUCAGAACCUAUUGUUUUUUUUCAUCACCAUGCAGCUUUAUUAGCCAACCUGCCUUUUUGCCUGUUUCCUGACUGCAGGUUAAUCUGCUGGAGUGAAGUUGGACCGAACCGCCACAGAUCCCUGAGUCCAGCAGAACUAGGUGGGGCCUGUCAAUACUCCUCUGUUUGCUGCUGACAUUUCAGCAAGCAAGGGAAUAAACCCGAGCUUUGUGUGGAAAUAACAGAUCCAGUGUGAGGCAGACAGGAUCCUCUGAACUCCUCCACUCAGUCUCACUUCACUUCCUUUCUUUAUCCUCCAGCGGAGCAGCGGGGGUUCCUCCGUGCCGCGGCCGCCCCACAGCGCUCUCUGUCCGGGCUGCUCAUGCGGCAGGCCCCGCUCCCAUGGAGAACCUGAUGCCAAGUUUUGUGUCAGACUGACAACCAAAAGAACCGAAAAUGACGUGGCGAUCUGUGGGUGGGUAUCACAGUGUCGAGGUGAUGCUAACACCUUGACGGCCCCACAUGCUUCUCAGUUACUGAAACUGAUCUUCAAAAGCCCAGCAUACAUAUCUGCAGGAUGCCCAGCCAGCCGAAGCCCCGCAGGACGAGGCGUUUUCUGCUGUGAAGCCACACCCAAACAGGAAGGAGUCACCGAGAAUAGAGCGGCCCUCCACCCAACCAGCUUCCCUUUCACUGACACACACUUCCUCUAAGUCUGUUUGUUUGCUUCACGCAAAGUUCUGCUCAUUUUCCACCCAGAACUACAAGAAAUUAACAACCUGCACACAACAAUAGAGGAGAUUCCAACUCCUUGCUGUUAAAUUGUGACACUUGGUCAUUUUUACCUUGUUUUUUCCCCCAAAUGAAAUUAUUCUGCUCCCUCCCACACGGCUCUCACCUUUUCUACAGGCGGCCCAUCAGAGCAGAAUAAAUUACCGAGCUUCAAAGAGCCAAUCAGAGGCGGAAGCAGCCGAGCGAGAAGAAAGUCAUGUGAUGGAAAAAUCCAUGUCCAGGUGAACACUGCGCCAGGUAAGAAGCUGAGUUUUAUUCACAGGAAAUAUCUCCAAUUAAACUCAGCACUGAAGUGAACUUUGGCUCCAUCUGCUGCUGUGGAAACAGAGCAGAAACUUUAGAAUACGGGUGUCCAGAAUAAAACAUAAAAAUCACCAAAAAUGUUAUUUUUUAUAAACUUUUAUAAACUCAGCAUAAUCUACUUUAACUAAAUAUAUUAUCAGAUCUUUUUUUAUAAGAACAGGAUUGUUUUCUUUG